rnacentral:rRNA from 1 species
AUUGAACGCUGGCGGCAGGCCUAACACAUGCAAGUCGAGCGGAUGAAGGGAGCUUGCUCCUGGAUUCAGCGGCGGACGGGUGAGUAAUGCCUAGGAAUCUGCCUGGUAGUGGGGGAUAACGUCCGGAAACGGGCGCUAAUACCGCAUACUUCCUGAGGGAGAAAGUGGGGGAUCUUCGGACCUCACGCUAUCAGAUGAGCCUAGGUCGGAUUAGCUAGUUGGUGGGGUAAAGGCCUACCAAGGCGACGAUCCGUAACUGGUCUGAGAGGAUGAUCAGUCACACUGGAAGUGAGACACGGUCCAGACGCCUACGGGAGGCAGCAGUGGGCAAUAUUGGACAGAGGGCGAAAACCUGAUCCAGCGAUGGCGCGUGUGUGAAGAAGGUCUUCGGAUUGUAAAGCACUUUAAGUUGGGAGGAAGGGCAGUAAGUUAAUACCUUGCUGUUUUGACGUUAACAACAGAAGAAGCACCGGCUAACUUCGUG